GUGGGGAAUAUUGGACAAUGGGCGAAAGCCUGAUCCAGCCAUGCCGCGUGUGUGAAGAAGGUCUUCGGAUUGUAAAGCACUUUAAGUUGGGAGGAAGGGCAGUAAGUUAAUACCUUGCUGUUUUGACGUUACCAACAGAAUAAGCACCGGCUAACUUCGUGCCAGCAGCCGCGGUAAUACGAAGGGUGCAAGCGUUAAUCGGAAUUACUGGGCGUAAAGCGCGCGUAGGUGGUUCAGCAAGUUGAAGGUGAAAUCCCCGGGCUCAACCUGGGAACUGCCUCCAAAACUACUGAGCUAGAGUACGGUAGAGAGUAGUGGAAUUUCCUGUGUAGCGGUGAAAUGCGUAGAUAUAGGAAGGAACACCAGUGGCGAAGGCGACUACCUGGACUGAUACUGACACUGAGGUGCGAAAGCGUGGGGAGCAAACAGGAUUAGAAACCCCAGUAGUCC
rnacentral:rRNA from 1 species